rnacentral:rRNA from 1 species
AGCGAACGCUGGCGGCAGGCCUAACACAUGCAAGUCGAGCGGCCGUAGCAAUACGGCAGCGGCAGACGGGAGAGUAACACGUGGGAACGCGCCCUUCAGUUCGGGAUAACUCAGGGAAACUUGGGCUAAUACCGGAUACGCCCUUACGGGGAAAGAUUUAUUGCCGAAGGAACGGCCCGCGUCCGAUUAGCUUGUUGGUGAGGUAACGGCUCACCAAGGCGACGAUCGGUAGCUGGUCUGAGAGGAUGACCAGCCUCACUGGGACUGAGACACGGCCCAGACUCCUACGGGAGGCAGCAGUGGGGAAUAUUGGACAGUGGGCGCAAGCCUGAUCCAGCCAUGCCGCGUGGGUGAUGAAGGCCCUAGGGUUGUAAAGCCCUUUCAGCGGGGAAGAUAAUGACGGUACCCGCAGAAGAAGCCCCGGCUAACUUCGUGCCAGCCGCCGCCGUAAGAC